UUUAGAUGCCCUAUUUUAACAGCCACUGGGGGGUGCUACAGCAGGCUGCUGCAAGCCUUCAGCUCCACGAGAAGGUCCCCCCAAAAAUAUUGAUAACAUAAAUAAUACCUCCCUGAUAGUGUCACUAAAGUGAGCAAUGAAUUCCCCCUGUGGACACCCCCACGUGGAGGGGGACCCCGCUUUGGUGGAGCCUGCAGGGAGUGGGUGUCUGGGGUUCCCUGGAUGUCGUGCAGUGGAACAUCACGCUGUGUACAUCUCCAAAGGAGUGUUAGUUAUGUGUGGAUGCUGUGAAGGAAACUUAACAGAGGCUUGGAAAAGAGGACUGGAACCAGGAGGCCGUCCUCCUCUGGAAAAAACCACGCACACAUCUUGGCAGUGUACACACGCACUCUGAACACAGACUCCACUUUGUGUGCUCCGUGGAAAAAGGAGGUAUGUGGACUUGGCCCCGGCCGCCGUGACGGAGGGUUAGUCAGAGAACUGGUGGAGGAAAGGCAUGGCCCACAUUCACGCAAGAAGGAGAGAUAGGUCACAGUGUCCAGGUCACUUUAUUGCUGACGUGAGGACAGGUGGUGGCGCUGUGCACAGUAGUAGUAGUAGUAGUCUGCUCUCUGCUGGGGCUUUGUUACAAUCGUAGAAACAGAAGCAGACGUAAAUAAAGUGUGAGGCGUGAAGCGGCGCUGAAGGAUAUGCUAAUGAGCGGGUGCUAAUGCUAAACACUGACUAUGGCUUUCAUACACAGCUUUGAUAGGAUAAAUGACGGCAGACAGACAAGGCUGGACACUUCAUUAGGUACACCAUCUAAUCAUUGGUACAUUCUUUGAUGUCGUCAGUGAACCAGGAAGUAGUCUGCUACGACACAAACGUUACAUUAGGGAACAUGAACCAGGAAGUAGUCUGCUACGACACAAACAAUACAUCUGGGAACAUGAACCAGGAAGUAGUCUGCUACGACACAAACAAUACAUUUGGGAACAUGAACCAGGAAGUAGUCUGCUACGACACAAACAAUACAUCUGGGAACAUGAACCAGGAAGUAGUCUGCUACUACACAAACGAUACAUCUGGGAACAUGAAGCAGGAAGUAGUCUGCUACUACACAAACGAUACAUCUGGGAACAAGAAACAGGAAGUAGUCUGCUACGACACAAACGUUACAUUUGGGAACUUGAACCAGGAAGUAGUCUGCUACGACACAAACGUUACAUUUGGGAACUUGAACCAGGAAGUAGUCUGCACUACACAAACGAUACAUCUGGGAACAUGAACCAGGAAGUAGUCUGCUACGACACAAACAAUACAUUUGGGAACAUGAACCAGGAAGUAGUCUGCUACGACACAAACGAUACAUCUGGGAACAUGAACCAGGAAGUAGUCUGCUACGACACAAACGAUACAUCUGGGAACAUGAACCAGGAAGUAGUCUGCACUACACAAACGAUACAUCUGGGAACAUGAACCAGGAAGUAGUCUGCUACGACACAAACAAUACAUUUGGGAACAUGAACCAGGAAGUAGUCUGCUACGACACAAACAAUACAUCUGGGAACAUGAACCAGGAAGUAGUCUGCUACGACACAAACGUUACAUUUGGGAACUUGAACCAGGAAGUAGUCUGCACUACACAAACGAUACAUCUGGGAACAUGAACCAGGAAGUAGUCUGCUACGACACAAACAAUACAUUUGGGAACAUGAACCAGGAAGUAGUCUGCUACGACACAAACAAUACAUCUGGGAACAUGAACCAGGAAGUAGUCUGCUACGACACAAACGAUACAUCUGGGAACAUGAAGCAGGAAGUAGUCUGCUACGACACAAA